UAAUGAGUGUGUUUUGCUAGAGAAUGUUGUUAAAUAUAAAAAUAUUUAAAACACUGUUCUCUAACCGCUUAAGUUUUUAGAAUAUAACGGUUGUUUCACAUAGUAUCAAAACAGGAAGUCCUGAGUUUGAAUCACGCCAGACUCCUAGCAUAUUAAUUUCCUCCCAUUUAAUUCAAGCCCACGUUAUGGGCCGAUUAAAAAGUCUCGAACCCAGACGUGAGGGGGAGUGUUAAAUAUAAAAAUAUUUAAAAUACUGUUCUGUACAACGGUUGUUUCACAAAUGUAAUAUUAUUGUAUAAAAUAUUAUCUAUAAAAAAAUAUUUUAUGUCAAUUUUUCAACAAAUUUCUUUUAUAAUAAUAAAAUUUAAAGUACCAAAUGAGAACUUCUAUGCUUUUUCAGUUUCUUAAGGCCAAAAAGACUAAAUUAGAUUAGAGAAGACAUUGUCACAUCUGAUACCACCAUCGCAAGGACUCUUCCUUAUGAGAAAUUUUGAACUGUAAAACCUAACUUAGCAAGGACAAUUGUAUUAAUAUGCAGGGUCAUUUGCAUAAUUAAAAGAAUGGAAAGGGUUUGCUAAGAUUUAUGAUCAUAUAUAAAGCAAUUUUUUUUUCUCUAAAAAUUUACACCGCUAAAAAAUGGUGUUUCAUACACAUUAAUUCAACAACAGAAAUAAUAAAUGAUGUAGAGACCCAACUGGUGUCAGCUUCCCUGGUCCACCCAAUCGCUUGAUAUGGUAAUGGUACAAGCUAUGACAUGCACAAAAGACUAGUGAUUAAACUUUUUUUUUUCCUACAUAAAUGAAGCAAAAUUGUUUUCUUUGUACACCAAUAAUAGUUUGUGGAGGCAUAUGCUUCAGGGAUCUUCCCACCGAGGGCAUAUGCUUCAGGGCACCUUCCCACUGAUUUUAGGAUAGUCAAAUACGUGGUUGAACUACGUCCAGAAAUGACGGUUUUUGUCUAAACUAAAAUAUUAACAAACUAAAAUAUUAACAAAUUAAAAUAUUAAGCUGGUAGGUUGUUGUUGAAUAUAAAAUUAUAUAAAUACCGUUCUCUAACAGCUUAAGCUUUUAGAGUACAACGGUUGUUUCACAUGGUAUCAAAGCAGGAGGUCCUGAGUUCGAGUUACGCCAGGCUCCUAACAUAUUAAUUUCCUCCCAUUUAAUUCAAGCCCACGUCAUGGGCCGAUUAAAAAGUCUCGAUCCCAGACUCUUAAGCUUUUAGAGUACAACGGUUGUUUCACAAUAAAUAUAAAAAUAUUUAAACACCGUUUUCUAACAUACAAUGGUUAUUUCACAUGGUAUCAGAGUAAGAGGUUAUUUCAUAGUCUAGACAGAAAAGAAUCAUAUAAUCUUUCGAGCCAAACUCGCCACCCCUUCCUGGUCGGUUGAGCGCGUCAAACUCCCGCUAGCCUCUUAGAACCAUAUUCUUUGAUCGCCUGAUCCCUGUCCCUUAGUCAUCUAUCCCUUUUCCCUCUUUCCCCACCGCUCGUUCCUUCUUCGUUUUAUUUUUCUUUCCCUUUUUAUCUCCUUUUCGUCUCUUUCUGUUGUAUCAUUUUUAAGAAAGCUCCAGCUGCUUUCAUCCUGUUUGCUUAGUUUAUUUUGCUUAAUGAAUGAAACAUGUAGCUUGCUACAUUUUCUCAAAAAAAAAAGCAAAGUAAAAUGAAUACCCAAUCAAAGCAGAAUGCUGAUCCAUUUAAAUCGGCAAUCUUUAUCUCAUAUUAGUUGUCAGAUCGUUAACGCUAGUUAUUAAUUCUAAAAAAUUGAGCUGUUAGAAAUACGCAACUAAUUCAUUUAAAGCGUAUAGACAUAGUGUUCAUGGCUCUCUGCGGAUCUCGAUUAUGAUUCGAUCAAAUCAGUCUUACACAACUUCAAAUAUGACUCGACUAAUUCAACCUCACGCCAUUUCGAACAUAUCCGACCCAACCUAAUCUUCUGCCACAGGACUAAUGGUAAUCCAUUUAAACCAACACAAAUGUUGGACCAGCUUAAGAUAAAAAUUAGCCUGAUGCUGGUAUAUUUUUUUUUAUUUUUCAGUUUAAUUUGUGAGCGCAUUCAAAUUCGGAUGGUGAGAGAUCAUGCUAGUUGUGCCCUACAACAAACAGUUGAAAGCGAAAGGCUACCUUUUUAAAAUCUUUUUUGUCUUUUUGUUCGUGGGGUUUGGGGGGUUAGGGGGGGUGAAAGCGAAAGAAAGACAGUUGGGUGGGGCCGAGUUCGGGUUUUCAGAGCCCACAUGAAAUAGUGUGUUCGUUGGAAAAGCCGACUUCGCUACGCGAGCAGGGAAGAAAGCAAACACCGGAAUGAGAACCUCGGCUGCCAGAACAUCAAGGUCCUAUUUCUUCGACAAUAUUCUAGAAAGAGUACGUGGGUCAGUGAAAACAGUUUCUUAUUUAUUAUUAUUUUUAUUUUUUAACUUGUCUAUAAUAAUUCACUAAUUCACUAAUAAAUCUCACAGCUCCUGCAUAUUUCUACCAAUUUAUCAUCUAACAAAUCAGAAGUUAGUUAAUAUUUUUAACUAAAUUUAUUUUUUUUAAAAAAUAAAUAAAAUAAAUAGCAUUUUAUAUUUCUUUCGAAAACAGAUGAAAAGUCCCGGUAGAAGCUUCAAGUUCCUUGUACGUCUUAAACGACAACUUGGGCAACAAUUACUAACCUUUGUAACAAAAAAACCAAUAGUAAUUUUUUUUAAGAAAAAAACAGCACGGGAUUUAAAAUUAAUUUUAUAGCAUAUAAAAGUACUUAAUUCCCGAUCAUGAUGGCAACAAGUACUGUAAAGACAAACCUUAUAUAUUUUAUUUCAUUAUAUAUAUAUAUUUUUUAUUACUUAUUUAUUUUUUUAAGGAAAACUUCAAAAACCCCCCUAGGUUUCACACUUUUUCAUUUUAGUAUCCUAUAGUUUUUUAAAUCACAAGAAACUAAAGUGAUAAAGUGUAAAACCACAGGGUACUAAAGUGAUAAAGUACAAAACCACAGGGUACUAACUUAAUACACUUUAAACCACAGGAUACUUAAGUGAUAAAGUGAGAAACAACGGGUACUAACUUGAUACAUUUUAAACCACAGGAUAUUAAAGUGAAAAAAAUUGAAACCACAAGGGGGGUUUUUAAAGUUUUUCCUUUUUUUAAUUCAAAUAAAAGGAGAAAAUAUUUUGUGUAGAAGUCGCUCCAUAUUAUUAUGAGCUUAUAUCUAGCCAAUUAAAAUAUCUAUUUUUAGAAAAAAAAAUAUAUAAUAAAAAUAUUUUUAUAUAAAAUAUGAUGGAAUAGAUAAAUUUUAAUUAAAAAGGCAUUAUAAUUGAUUGGACCACGCAACAAUAGAAAAUAUGGCUGGAAACCUUUAUUUUUUUUUUUUUAUUAAUAUAGAGAGAGCAAUAAAAGCUGGUUCUAUCAUAUAUCUAUGCCCCGGCCGUGAUGGCUUUGGCGGGAGCUAGGAAGUGCUCGGCCAAUAAGCGCCGUUGGAUCUUCCCUGUGGCAGUCUUGGGAAGCGAGUCGGUGAUGUACACCUUCUUGGGCACCUUGAACGCCGCGAGAUUCUUCCUGCAGUAGCUCACCACCUCCUCCGCCCCGAUCUCCGCCCCCUCCCUCGGAAUCACCGCGCAGUUUAUCUGCAAACCAUUCACCAGCAAACGAACGGACGGCUCAGAUUUUCUUGUUUUUAAUAUAAUAAUAAUAUAUAUAUAAAAUAAUUUCAAAUUCGCAAAAUUUUCUAUCAAAUAAUAAUAAUAAUAAUAAUAAUAAUAAAAGAAAGAAAAGGACUCGCCUCCUCGCCGUAUUUAUCGUCGGGCACGCCGAACGCCACGGCCUGCGCGAUAUUCGGGUGCGCCAGCAGCACCGCGUCCACCUCGAUCGGCGAGAUCUUCUCACCUGCUCACCAGAAUUCGAUGAGAUCAGAUCACUAGAUCUAUUCAUGGCAACUCUCUCAAGUCUCACCUCCGCGGUUGAUGAGCUCCUUGAUCCGGCCCACGAGGCGCAGGUACCCGUCGUCGUCGAGGAAGCCCACGUCGCCCGUGUGGAACCACCCGUGCCGGAACGCCUCCCGGUUGGCCGCCGGGUUGUUCUUGUAGCCGCCGGUCACGUUGGGCCCCCGCACGCACACCUCCCCGGGCGCGUGCGGCGGACGCGGGUUCCCCUCCUCGUCGAGCACCGCCAACUCCUGGCCCACGGCCCGGCCCACCGACCCGGCCUUGUGGGCCCCGUCCUCGGGCAGCGGGUUCGACGUCAUCAGGUGCGCCGCCUCCGUCAUGGCGUACGCCUCCAGCACCGGCGCGCCCAGCGCCGCCUCCAGCCGCGCCAGCACCGCCGGGGCCAGCGACGCGCUGCAGCUCCGCACGAACCGGAGCCGCGGGUAAGCCCCCUCCGGCUCCGGCCGCGCCGCGUGCCGGUCCAGCAGGAUCUGGUGGACCGUCGGCACCGCCGUGUACCACGUGGCGCCCGCCGCGCGCAUCUCGCCCCAGAACGCCGACGCCGAGAAGCGCCCCGCGACGGGGAGCGCCGCGGCGCCGCCCGCGGCGAGCGAGCUGAGCAGCGCCGCGACGAGCCCGUGGACGUGGAAGAGCGGGAGCACCACCACGGUCGCGUCCGACUCGCUGAGCCGGUACACGGACCGGAUGUUGCUGACCGACGCGGCCAGGUUGAGCUGGGUGAGCGGGACCCCCUUGGGUCGGCUCGUCGUGCCCGAGGUGUGGAGGAAGAGGGCCACGUCGGAGGGCUCGUUGCCGAACAGGGCGGCCUCCGGGUCGGACCGGGCCGGGAGGGAGAGCCGGACCGGCCCGGCCGCGUCGGCGAGCGCGGCGGUGGCGCGGGGGAUCCCGAGCUUGGACGCCGCGGCCUCGGCGGCGGCGUUGCCCUCCGCGUUUGUCAACAGGAGGGUCGACUCGGAGUCGGAGAGGUAGAACUCGAACUCCUCCGCCGUGUACGCCGAGUUCAGCGGCGCCGCCACCGCCCGGGCCCGUAUCACCGCCAGGAACAUGAUCACAUACUGCACGGAAACCCAAGCAGAUACUCAAUAACCUUUUUUUUUUCUUUUUAAUAUUAAACUUUAAUAUCAAUUUAAUAUAAAUAUAUGUAAAAUUUUAUUCUAGCGAAAGAAAAUUAAAUAAGACUAGAAAUCUGGAAGGAAGAAGAAAAAAAGGAUAGGCGGUGGCAGGGGGGACCUCGACGGUGUUGGGGAAGGUGAGGGCGACGACAUCGCCCGGGCGGACGCCUGCGGCAGCAAUGGCGGCGGCGGCGGACUCGACGAGGUCGUGGAGCUGCGCGUGCGUGAGAUCGAGCUUGCCGGGGACGAGGAGGGCGCGCCGGCCGGGGAAUUUCUCCGCGGCCUCCUUCAGAAGCCCAGUUAGGGUGAGCCCUUCCUUGUUCGCCAUUUUCCUUAUAUUUUUCUUUCUAUUUUUUUUUUAAAAAAAACCUAUAAACAAAUUGUGGUAUGCAGCAGAGCGGAAAGAAUUGAGGAGUAGGAUGAUAUGGUUUGGUAUUUAUAGGCAGUUAAGAAAGUAAAGUCACAGGGGAACCGACGACGAGUAUCUCCUGCUGAUCCGCGUGUAUAAUAUAAUAUAUAUAUAUAUAUAUAUAUAUAUAUAUAUAUAUAUAUAUAUAUAUUANUUUAUGUGCACGUAUCUAGUAUUUUAAUUUAUAGUGAUAAAUUUAAUAAAUACUGGCCAAAAUUUUACUGUUGUUGUAAAUUACUAUAAUUUAUAUGCUUUUUGAUAUAAAAAUACUUUAAAUAUUAUUAUAAAGAAAUAAUUUCGAUGUGUACUUUUUCUUCGAAGGAGGGGACUUGGCCGUGCUGCGACGCGUGCGAGGGAUGGGUGAGCAGUGAUUCCCGGGUAGUUGGCGCUCGCGCCACCUCCGGGCCCGCGAGCUGCUGCCACGUGUGCGUCCCUUCGCGGCCUGGAACGUGGAAAGUCGUACGUGCACCUGGUGCGCCAUUACGCCCUGUGUACCGCCCUUCUUAAUCUCAGCUGUUAGUCCUGCAGUAUUUUCAAUUGCACCGUUAGUUAGUUCUUAAUUUUGGGACGGGUUUUAUUUUCGAUCUCUAAUUUCAAAGCUCGUAAUUUCAAACCUUGCAAAAAGUAUUUCAUUUUGAUCCUUUCCCUUGUUAAUUAUUUAUUAAAAAAAAAUUACUUUAGGGGCAUGAUACACAUCUUUAUUUUCACGUGAUCUUGCAUCCUGUUCUAAUCCUAUUGUUUACCAAGUUGCAAUCUAACGGAUAUGAAGCAAUGAACUCAUGAUGUAAGUCAACAAAGAAAAGAAUUUCAAAAGCAUGCAAAUUACUUGUGAAGCGCUGAUAGAAAAUCGUGGUGCAUGGGGUAUACUAAUACACUGAAUCUACAGAAAUCCUUGCAAGUGGAGUGGUGGCAUUAUCUGGAGCAGGGAAGAUUGAUUUUUUUGGAUUCUGGCUGCUUCUGGACGCGGGCGCUUCGUUUUUCUGUUGCAACCUCCACCACUUGUACCUUUUCUAGCUUUUUAAUGAAAAAGAAGACAAUCCAAUGAUGUUAUUGGCGCAUCCGGAGAUAGGACCAGGCUAGAAUACUGUUAAUAAUAAAUUAAUUAUUUAUAUUAUUAAAUUUUUAAUUUUUGGAUGAAGCGAUAUGCGCGGUUGGAAUAAUAAUAAUUUUCUAAAGUUGAGUGGAUAGUUAGUUCAACAAUAUAAUUUAACGGAUAAAAAUGAUCAAAAUGAUAAAUCUAACGGCAGAAAAUUUGGUAACACCAAGUGUUUGGUGUCAUCGAUAGCCGGACUUCUGAAGAUAAAUAUAAAUUUUUGUAUUUUUAUUUAUUCAAAGGUUUUAAAAGUCAAAUAUAUAUAUAUUCUGAAAUGCACGAGCCGAUCAUAAUUGAGAUUAUAUCUGAUUUGCUUGCCAACGUGUCCGACUAGAUUAAAUCGGGUCAUGUGGUGUUCGGUCCAGUCGGGUUCGACUAGAGUUCGGGUGAUGUCCAAUGUUAAGUUACCUGAUAACUGUGUAUAAGGGCUACUUUAGCUAGAGCGUUACUCUUGAUACAAAAUUUUCUAUAUCGGCGGCGUGCUUCGUGUAGAUGUAGUUCUCUGAGUCGUUUUAGUAAACUCCUAAUGGCCUCUGGAGUCUACGAAAGGCUACGAUUGGAGAGACGACACCGUAACUUUCCCAACCCAACAUUGUCGUCUAUUCUACGCUACUAUUUAACAUAAUUGUUACAUCCUGCUUUGAACUAUUGUCAUGAUACGUCACCAUUCCAAAUUCUCAAUUAUUAAUUAUGGCUCCAAUGGAACUCUGAGCUAAUUAAUAUAAUAUAGACAAUUUAGGAUUAAUAUUCUCUAACGAUGCUUCCGCUACCGCUAGGCACACCAAAAUAAUACAUAAUUGAGUGUUACAACUAAUGCACGCCCAAACGAGGCUGAUCUGAACUAGGCAAACUAAAAACAAGUAGAGUCAAAAGUUAAUCUAAUGGCAACUUGGUAAUUAAUUCGUACACCUUCUUGUGUAGGAAAAGAGCGGUAGCGACAAGCCUUGUGUUAUCAAAUUGAAGCUCCGUGUGCUUUUGCAAUUUAAAGCUGUGUCUCAAUUGUCUCGUCUUUUUUUGACAAAAAGUGAUGAUGCGCGAAUUGUUCGAGCAAAUUCCUUUCUCCGAUCACUCAUUAGUUUCGACUCAUGGGAUUGUACGAUGGCUGUGAAUGAAGCUAUAGUUAUCGGCAUGGAAAAUUUCCUUAUAUUGGAGCCAUUCUGCAUUACACUAAGGAUGCGUUUGGUUUGGUUCGCAUUAUGAAAGAUUAUUAGAAAUUAAAAAAUAUUCGAGAAUUUUAUUCCUAUUUAUCUUAUUACUAAGAAUGUUAAAUUUCUGUAUUUGAUUCGUACGGCCAUAUUAUUUAGCUAUGCGAUUUAAGAUUACAAAAAAUAUACUAUUGAUUUAUUUAUUUAUUUGUAGAUAAUGCUAUAAAAAAUUUCAACAUCUUUUUAGAAAAAAGAGAGAGAACAUAAAUUAGAAAAAAAGAGUAUAAUUAAAAAAAAUAGAAAGAGAAAUAGAGUCGAAAUUAGGAGUGAGAGAGUUGAGAUUUUAGAAAAAGUGGGAGAGAGAAAGCCUAGUUUAGAGAGAGAAAAAGAAUUGAAGUUUAAAGAGAAAAAUAUAAGUUUAGAGAGUGAUAUGAGGUUAGAAUGUAAAGAAAAAUAAUACCAACUAGUCGGCGGGUAGAGAGAAAAAAAAAGAUUAGACAUAUUAUAAUUACUCCAAUCCAUUAAUAUGAGGAUACUCAUCAUCCCUCAAGGAAAUGAGAUUAGUACUUUGGGAUGAAUUUCAUUCCCAAGUAAUCUAAUAUUACCAACUAGAUUACUUAGUUCAUUUAGCCAAACACCGUCAUAUUUUUUUUAUUCUUAUUAGAUUUCUAGAAAUCUUUAAAAGAUAGCGCGAACCAAACGCACCCUAAUGCAGAUGCCACAUAGAAAGUUUCUGCUGAUGAGUAGUGGAAUAUUCAUUCCAUGUGUAGAAAUUUUUUACACAUAAAAUUGUAUCUAAUCAAAACGUGCAUUGAAACCACCUGCACCCUGGGAGAGAUUUGAGUUUUAUUCUAAUUCCAAUCCCAGCAUAUAAUGAAAUGUCUAGUCUAGAAAAGAAAGGGGGGAAAAAAGAAAAUCCAAAAAGAUAUUUGAAUACAUCUGCAGCUAGGCCUGCUAAUGAGCCGAAUAUUGGGGCCCAUUAGACUUCAUUCGUCCCCUGCCGUGGAAGUGGGCUGGGCUAGGACACGGUCCACCGCAUCAUCCGUGCACCACCAAAGUUUCACAAAUUAUUUUAUUUUUUGCUUUCAAUUUUAUUUUUACUUUUAAUUCCUAUUAUAUUUUAUGUUUGUUGCAGAGCGUGCAUAACAUUUAAAUGGAGAUGAGAAAAAGAGCCCAUGCCUACUAAAGAGAAAGAUGUUGGACGUAACGAGUAUCUGGUCUCAGUAUUCAAUAAUUUAUUUAUAUCAAACUAGUAUUAUUGUGCUAUACAAAUACAAGGAAAUGAACAGUUAAAGUGCAAAAUAUUUAUUAUUGUAUUUUUUAUAUAUAACUUAAUUGUUUUGACUUAAUAAUACUGUUAAGUUUUAUGCGUAGUAGCUGUGAUAAAAGCAAGAGCAAACUCGGCCCACUUGAUUUUCCCAUGACUGGUGUACCGGUGACGUGGUGGACGUGGUCCGUGGAUAUCUCGUCUUGGUAAUUUCGCAAAACCUUCGAAGGGCCAUGGUACGAGAUAUUUAUUCCUUGUGGGGUCCACAUGAUCAAAGGGAUCUGGGCCCACGUGCGACGUGACUGAUCCGAUGGCGUCAACGCCACGUGGAACAUGAGUAGCCGCCCCUCUCUUUUCAUGUCUGAAUUAAUUAUUUUUUAUUAAAAAUAUAUAUAAUAACUUUAUUUUUUAAUAAAGAUGACACGUAUACACCUUGUCAGUAUAAUCUGAUUUAUUGAAGACAUACAUAAAUAAUUUUUAUUUUUGCUGCUUGAACUUUACAAUUUUUGUACCUGCGUUGUGUUUCAAUAAUUACACCGAGCUACUCGAGUAAAAUAAUGUGUCUCUUUCCUCUUAACUUUUAAUGAAAAGGGAAAACUUUAAAAAGUCCCCCAGUGGUUUCGUAGUUUCUCACUUUGCUUUUCUGUGGUUUAAAAUAUAUCAAUUUGCCCUUCUGUAGUUUCUUUUUUCUCUUUUUCUUAUAAAUUUCAUUAUUUUUUUUCUUAAAUCAGUGAUAAAAUUAAAAUUAAAGAGUACUAAAGUGAAUAUUUGAUAAAUCUAGAUGGGUAUCUGAAGUUUUUUAUAUAUAAUUUAAUAAAAAUUAUUAACGAAAAAGCUACCGACAAAAUAAAAACGAAACCACAGGGGGCAAAAGUGAGAAACUACAACACUACAGGCGGGGUUUUUGAAGUUUUUCCUAGUGAAAAAUAUAUAGUACCUAUGAUCUAUAUGUGUGUAUAAAUUUUUUUAUACCUUUAUUAUUCUUAGAUUCACAAAAUUUUAAAUAUAAUUUUGAUAAAAAAAAUAUUUAUAAAACUAGUGGGAAAUAAGAGCUCUUGGAAAAGUAGGUUGUUUUUAAAGAAUAUUAGUGAUACAUUGAGAAAUUAUACAACCCUUUUGGAGUUCAUUUAUAUACCUAUUGAAAACCUUAUCAUUAUGCCCUUGAAAACCUUAUCAUUAUGUUUAUACAUCAGCUGCAUGUAAAAACAAUGUUCUACUAUGAUAUUUUUUAUUGUUAUAAUUUCUUGGCAAUUGUUUUAUGUGUUGUUAAUGUGUGGACACUAAUUGUAAGGUAGGGACCUUUGAUUAAUUUAUAAAAAUAUUUCAAGAGUGUAAUAAAACUUCAUUUAUACAAUAAUUACCCUGUGGAGGCAACAUGAGGAAAAAUCCAAUUUAUAUUUUUCCUCGCUUUCUGGCAAGUCAAUAGGGUCCCCUCGCAUAUAUGAAUAUAAAGUUAAGACAAAAGCAUAUAUGAAUAUGCUUUCAUAUUUUCUAGUGGAAUGAUAAAAAAAUAUAUAUGUAUUGCGAUGUGCGAAAUAUGAUAUUAUGUACGAAAAUGUAUUGAAUAUUUCUCAUUAUAAACGCACAAAAUGUAAUCUCCCUACAAUCUUCCACAGAUCAUAUUUAUGCUUGAAACGUGACUUAAACUUGGCACUUACUACGUCAUCAACCAACAAAUGUACCUGUUGCAAGGUGGUGGAUCUUUCGACCUUUGAGAAUAAUUAAACUAGACCACAAACACAUACAAUCAAGAUCUAACUAUCAACUUCUCUCUUAAAGAAAGGCGCCUUGCCAACUAAAUUAAUUAUACAGUUGUUAAAUAAAAACCGAUUCUAAAAAUUCAAAUCAGCACUUCUAAUUAUAAGCUAAUAAAAAGAGGUGGAAACAUUUUUUUUUUUUUCUUUUUUGAGAGAGAGAAUGAUUGCAUGCUAUCUGCUUCAUAAUAAAUGAACGUAGCUGAAAAUAUGAAGCUAUUAAGUUUUGAACUUAAAACUUUGAUUAUUAAUCAUUAAAUUUUUUUACCACUUGUGUUAGAAACGAUUGAUAAAUAAAAGAAAAAUCUUGCACAGAGGAAUAUGCCAUGGUUGGAAUACUUUUACUCUAUCUGAGGGUGCAUCACAUGUUGUGGAAUUUUCAUAGGGGGGUCGCGGGAUUCAACGAUUUGGAUAAAAGCAGCAACAUGUCGAUGCUUGUCACACGUUAUACCUAAUUAGCUAGCUUAGGAUUCGAAUAUUAUUGAUGCUGAUGUCGCAACUCACAAGUAAAUGUUACCCAGUACUUAAGGACAAGUUUUAUUGAAUUAAAAUCUCAAAUACACGUUAAUUAUUCUGGAUUAACAGACUCAAAAAUGAUUUGAAGCGAUUAAUUUUUAGCAUACAAAAAUUUCAUAAAAUUAAAUUAUUUUAUAAAAUUUAGAAAAAAGAUUUUUUUCGUGUAUAAUUUUUUUAUGGGUAACAAAUAAAUACAGUUAGAGAUUUAUUUUUGCUUUGCAUUUAUUCAUUGAGAUCACACUGGAUCUCAUCAGUUCUCUUUCAUGAAAAAUCCCUUUCCAGAAUUUUGUGUUCACACGUUUAUGUGUGAAGGUUCUCCUAUCUCUUUCAUAUUUAAAAAAUCUUCAACGUCAUCAACAUUUGACAACUGUUGUUAGAUAGAUAUGUUUUUAAGAUUUUCUUUUCCGCAGUAUAAAUAAAAGUUUUAAUUAAAGGCUUUCUUUUAGUUUAAAAUUUUUCUCAUUUAUGUACUAAGUUUUUUUUUAAAAAAAAAACUUUUUCUCUAGUUUUUUUAUUUUAUUAGUAAAACCGAAUGCUUCAUUUGGGAUUGCAGAGAGAUUGUUUUACGUAUGGUGAGAAAGUACGAUGAAAAAAUAUUCUGUUUGUUUCGGUACGUAAUAUUGUAUUCUGCAUACCGCAACGAGUCGGUUAUGAUAUAUUUUCUGCGGUCCCGCAGGAGAACGCAGAACCUUAUCCCUAUAUACUUUUAUCCCGACUUUAUUUUAUCUAAUAAUGUUAGAUAGACAUCAAUACCAAAUCAACCCUUAAUAAGAAAUUCUACCACCUUCUUUACUUAUUUUGCUGAAACUUAGUUAUAUUACAUGCAUUUUUCACAUAAUAAAUAUUUUAUUUUAGCAUAAAUGAUCAAAGUUUAGUGCAUUCUUAAUAUAUAGAUAAUUAAACUUUAGGCCAAUAAUUAUAGUUAGAUAAUAUUUUGUUUUUGGGUGUAGUCAAAGUGAAAACAACGUAUAAUUUUUUUAUUUCUAUAUAUAUAUAUAUUCUCUUAUGAGGAACUAGACUGGAAUGCUAUCAAUAACACCAAGCUAUCGGUAUUAUUAAUUUUUUAGCCCUUGGAUUCAGAAAUGUGCAAUUAGGAUGAUAUGGACCCAUUAGGGUUGAGUGGGUGGUUGAUUGAAUAGGAUAAUCUAAUGAAUAAAAAUGAUCAAAGGGUUAAAUCUAACGGUGGAAAACUCGAUAGCAUCAAGCCCUUAGUGCUAUCGAUAGUAUCCCAGCUGAACUCAUCUUAUGAGUAUACUCUUACGAGUAUAGACUUUUUUGUACUUAUAAGUAUUCCAAGCUGUAUAGACUCUUAUGAGUAUAGAUUUCUUUGUACUUAUAAGGAUACUCCUUUUAUGAGUAUCCCAGCUGGACUCCUCUUAUGAGUAUACUCUUACGACUAUAAACUUUUUUGUACUUAUAAAUUUUCUGCCGUUAGAUUUACCUUUUUAAUCAUUUUCACCCGUUAGAUCAUACUAUUUAACUAACCACCCAUUCAACCUUAGGAGACCAUUAUCAUCUUACUUGAAAAUCAUUAUAAUUCUAAACGCACGCCUUUAUUUAAUUGCUAAAAAUUUAUGAGUACAAAAAAAUCUAUACUCAUAAGAGUAGAGUAGUCCUAUCCUCUAUAUAUAUAUAUAUAUAUAACUUAAAAAAAAAAUCGAGGGAUAAAUUCGUCAUUUGACAGGACUUUUUUUAUAAACUAACUCUCUAAAAUUUUAAAAAUUGUGAAAUAAUCCUUCAAAAAUUAUAUUUGUAAAACUAACUCUCCUUUCGCUACGUAGGCAGAGGAAAAUUUUUUAUUAUAAAGGUGGUGAAUCGUUCACCGUCUUCAGUAAGACAGUGAAUUAACGAUUCAUCAUCUUACUAAUAUAAUUAGUAAAGACGGUAAAUGGUUCACCGUCUUUUGCUUAUUUAAUAUUUUUUCUUAUAUCCCAUAUAUAAUCUUAACAACAACAUAAAAAUUAUAACAAAUCACAUAUAAUUUUAACAACCUAAAAAUUCUAAUAAUCUAUCCAUACAAUUCUAACAAUUAAAUAAAAAUUUUAAUAAUCCUCAUAUAAUUCUAAAAAUCUCACUUUUUUCUAUCUCCCAUCUAACAGCCUCACAUUUUUAUGUACGUGGAUUAUAUGGAAAAUAGAAAAAAGUUAGAAGAAAAAUAGAAAAAAGUGAGUUUGUUAGGAUUAUACGUGGAUUAUAUGGAAAAUAAAAAAAAAGUGAGGUUGUUUGAUGAAAAAUAGGAAAAAGUGAGGUUUUUAGUAUGCGUAUUAAAAUUUGUAUUUGAUUGUUAGAAUUAUAUGGAUAGAUUAUUAGGAUUUUCAGGUUGUUAAGAUUAUAUGUGAUUUGUUAUAGUUUUUACGUGGUUGUUAAGAUUAUAUGUGAUUUGUUAUAGUUUUUAUGUGGUUGUUAAGAUUAUAUAUGGGAUAUAAAAAAAAUAUUAAAUAAGCAAAAGACGGUGAAUCAUUCACCGUCUUUACUAAUUAUAUUAGUGCUGAAGGUGGUGAACGAUUCACCGCUUUUAUAAAAAAAAUUCAUUAGUACUGAAGGCGGUAAAUCGUUCACCGCCUUUUUCUAAAAAAAAUCUAUUCUUACGCCUACGUGGCAAAAUGAAGGUUAGUUUUACAAAUAUAAUUUUAAAAAGAUCAUUUCGCAAAUUUUAAAAUUCUAGGCCACCGUUUGUUUCGAGGUUAAGUAAAAACUUGUUAUUUCAGGAAUAGAAUUAAGUUCAGGGUUAAGAUGGGGUUAGAGUAAUUUUGUGUUUGGUUGAGAAUUGGGUUUAGUUCAGGUAUAAAUAAAAUAGUGUUUGGUUGGAGUAGGUGGGAUAAGGAGGGUAGUAGGUAAAAUAAUAUUUUGUUUGGUUAUAGUAGUAGGAUGGGAUGAGGUAAUUCCAUCCCUAAAUUAGAUGUUUGGAAAUAACUUCGAAGUUAAAGGGUUAUUCCAUCCGUUAAUCCUGAACUAAACGGGUGCUAGAGGAUUAAUUUAUAAAAAAAAGUCCCAUUUGACACGCCAUGUGUGGAAGGGCCCGCCGGUGUACUCAUAACAGUAACCUAAAAAUUCGCCCCCGCUUUGACGCCACCUACUGAGUUAUUAACUUAUUACUUUCCCCGUUAACUCAGACAAAACUCUUCCUAGACCGCGUCCUGUAGACCGGCCACUUUAAAACUGCACAUCAACACCCUCCCAACGCUCCACCCCAACUGGUUUAUUUCUUUCGGAUGACGUGGUACACUCGGUCCACUCAGCAAGCUUUUGUGGGGGUCUCCGCUCCCAAGCGCGUUUCGCGUGUUUAAUUCAAAUUAAUUAAAACGCUAAUUAAGUGCAGCGUCGGCUCAUAAUCCCGUUUAAAGAUUACGUACUCACCACUCAUUAAGAAGAAAGGAUACAAAAGGGGGCGAAAAAGCGAAAGGGAGCACCAAUCCGAAACGAAGUCGCUGUCUCCUUCCCUCUGUUGAUAAUGGCGUUUGGGUCUCUUCCUCCCCCUUCUCUCUAAUUUCCACGAGGUUGGUUGAUCUUCUGCUUCUUCUUCUUCUCCGUGCUUCGCCUGAAUCCUUAGUUGCCAUGGAUGAGGUAUUAAGUUUCUCCCUGUGACAGGUGGAGCCAGCUUCGGAGGUUCGGAUUCGCUUCAGAUUGAGCUAACGAGCGAAUAUUAGCUUCAGGUUGAGAAAGCCUUCGUGAUUCUGUUUUGUUUGUUUGGAUUUUACUUUUUGAGGUAUUUUCUUUACUUUUUGAGGUGUUUUCUUUUGGAAUAUUCGAUUAUUUUGGCGUUUGUUUUGGAUUAUGUUACUAUUUCGUGCGGAAACGAUUGGAUCUGAGUGGUUCUGACGCUCUACGGCAUCUUAGGGUUCUGAUCUGCGCGUUUUGACUGUUGUGUAGUGGUUCCUCUUCGAGUUGUUCUCUUUAGCUUAAAUCACUAGGAAUGAUGCGAUCGUGGUUUUCUUCUUUUUUUUUUUUUAUUUUGAUCGCGCUAUUAGUAUGAAUAGCGGGUUGUUUAGUAAUGUAGGUUGUAUCUUCCCCAAAAGCAAAAGGGAGGACAAAAGAUUUAGAAAAAAAAAAGAAAAAGAAAAAGAUAGAGACAGAACCCUAAUCGACUUUGCUUUAAUAUGUAUAUUAUUUUGAUUUUUAAACUAAUGUGGUAUGCUGUACGUCCAGAUCUGAUUAAUUGGGAUAAAGAAAGAGGCGAUCUUACGUUUCAAUCUACACCUGCUCUGCUUGGAAUCUGGUCAAAUUUUAUUUUCCUUUGGGUAAAGAUGGAUGGAGACCCCUCAACUAUAGCCGGUUUUGAAGUAGUCCUCGGAUCUUUAUUUUUUCUCAGACUGAGACCCCAUCAACUUUCAGUUAUUUUGAUUUAAGUGAUUCAGAUCAAAUUAGCUUAGGAUUUCACUACAUUUAGUAGUUAUACAAGUGUUCUAACUAAUAAAAUGUUGAUUUCAAUGCCCGAUAGCGAGUGAAGUCAUUAAUUUUGACAAAAUUGCUUAUUCAAUAUAUUGAAAUAGCCUAAAUCAAAUUAAUUGAAAGUUAACAAGAAAAAUAUAGUCAAGUGUCUAGCUGAGGGGGUAUCCUUACAUUUUUCUUACCUUUCUUUUUCUUUUUCUCUGUCACCAAAGACCUUCUACUUAGUUGUUGCAUUUCUUCUAAUAAUUCUAUGGCUCAGUCAGCUUAUGAAAACUAGAGAUUGUAAUAUUUGCUUUUGCUUCUACCUCGUGCUGCUUUGAUUCUGCACUGUUACAGAAGUGUGUUUACUCCGCAAGUUUUUUGAGUUCUGUUUUCCAGCAAGAGGUCUAGUCAUGUCGACGAACUCUUUUCAUUUAUGCCAUAGGUCUUGAAUGCUUAUGCAAUCAAUACAUUGUGUUUUUCUUUUGAUUUCAACCUAUUUCUUCUCUGGUGUUUGAUUUGUUGAGGCAGCAUGUGUUGUAUAAGUAUCUUUGUUAGCAUGCUUUAUCGAUUGAUAAACUGAUGGUUGUGCAAGUGUUCUGAGAAAAGCAACUUCGUUAAUUCUAGAAUUUGUUCCUAUGAGAGAUCUGGUCAAAGCAGAUUUUUCAUCUUUUCCUUCAAAUGUGCAAAAGUUUAGAUGUCUAUAUGAUAUUGGUUUCUUUGGAUCUUAGAUGGUUUUAUUUCAGUUGGUUACUGAUUUCAUUGCUGAACCUUCAUGUAAUUCCCCAGCAAAAGGGGUCAUGCUAUUAUAAUUUUUUUAUUUUUUUAACUGAUUGAUUCACUUAGUACCUUCUGGCUCUUUCUUUGUUAUCUUACAAGUUUUCUGUGUUGCUUGUUGAUAAUAUAGCUUUCAUAUUUAGUAAUUUUUGCAGCGUAUUUGUAUAUGCUUAUUUGUAGUGCAGAAUGCCUCAUAUAUUGUUAGGGAUGCAAACGGGGCGGAUCUGGGGGCGGGAGCCCCGCCCCGCCUCCCGCCCUGACUAGCAAAAUUCCGCCCCGCCUUCCACUCCGAAUCCGUGACGGGUUAAAAAAUACAUCCCAUAAUCCGCCCCGCCUCGUAACCCGCCUCCCGCCGGUGCCCCGAAUCCGCCCCGCCAACUAAUAUUUUUUAUAAAAUUAUAAUAUUAUUAAUAUUUUGUAAAAUAUAAAUUAAUAAUUAAUAAUAUUAUAUAUAUAAUUUAACAAUAUCAAUUAUAAAAACCAAAAAUAUCAAUCACAAUUCAAAACAAAAUUCAAAAUUUUCAAAAACAUUAGAAAUGAGAGUACUAACUUAUUUGUAUUUUGAACUUUUUUUGUAAAUACAUUAUUUUUUAGGAAUAUUUUUGUAAAAUAUAAAUGAUUUUUGGGGCGGAUUCGGGGCAGAUUCGGGGCGGGUCAAAAUUUCUCCCGUUUUAUGCCCCGAAUCCGUCUCGGAUCGUAAAAUUUAUCCCGUUUACUGCCCCGAAUCCGUUUAUUUUCUCCCAUUUACUGCCCCCGUCGGGGCGGAUUGGGGCGGGAGCUCCACCAACCCGGAUCUGUUUGCAUCCCUAUAUAUGGUUGUUGUGACAUCAAAUCAUAAGGUGGAAAGUCAGAUAUAUAUUAGAUGUAUAUUCACCAUUCUGAUCUGAAUAACAUUUUUAGAAUUUGGCCUUGUUAGACAGCACUUUAUAAGAAUUGAGAUCUUGGCAUUCUCUUAUUGUGGUGAAGUGCAUGGCAAGACAACAUGGUUGGUUGGAUUUCUCUGUCUAGGGCACUAGCAACUAAAAAGCAUUUUCAAAGAAACCACAAUAUUUUCUUUCCCUACGUCAGUAAGUUCAACCACUUGGAACAGGAACAGUAAGUCGUAGAGAGAAAAAAAUAUAUGCAAUUACAAUAUUUUGUCCAUUUAAUUGCAUAUUUUUCAAGAGUGAAAAAAGUAGGAGUUUAGGGGGUAGGAGUUGGGGGAUAAAAUGCUACCGCACUAUUACCGACUUUAGAGGUAAGGUCAAAAACUCAUAUUCCUUUCUCUGAGAUAAAAAUUGCUUUCCUGAUGCCAACAAGGAAAUCAGCAGAAUUAUGUAGGGAAAGCAAUUUUGAAGGACCUGAUGCUUCACAACCUUGUUAUAUUCGUGCAUAGAAAAUACUGCAUAUGCGAGAUCAUCAUGGUACGAGGUGAUAUAAGGAUUAGUGGGCGAGCAACCUAGUGGAUAGGCCAAUAGGCUCAGGGUUGUGUAAAAUUGUGGAGUAGAACCAAUCUAAUCAUCCAAGAUUUGGAGAUCAGACUUUCAUUUUGAAAAUCAGCUAUUUUGCAGAGUCUAGCAAAAGGGAUUUUGAGGUAGAUGUGUAUCCCAAUAUGUGCAUGAGAUCAUACAGUUGUCUUUCUGAUUCUCAAGCUGUUUUAGUAAAUGAACAGAUGUAUAGAGCAUCAGUUUAUUAUUUGAUUUCUCAAUUGCCUUAUUUGAUUUCUGAAGAGUUAGGAGGAAGGUUUUUGCAUAUUGACUGGAUUUUGUGCUUUCAACAGGCUCGUCCAUUAUCAUAAAUGAUUCUUGUUUAGGUGCAUAUAUGUAUGCUUAGAAUAUGUAGAAACUUCGUAAGCUACCUAACUGUACCUAACUACAUAUGAAAGUGGAUAAGUUAAUAGAUUCUAAUAUUUAUCUUCUCAAUUGUGUGGUUAACGUACCUAUUUUUCGAAACGUCUUUUAGAAGAUCAAGUGUACUCUUGUGUUCCAAUUUUUAUGUUCUAAUUAUGUGUCAUUAGCCUGCCUAAUUCUUGAAAUGUAAUUUAGUAGGUGAGGUAUACUUGUAAAGGUGGAUAUAUUGUCUUUCUUGUAUUACUGGCUUGUUGGAAGUUUGAAGUACAACACUAAGCACGAUAUUAUUUUAUAGUAGCUGAAAAACAUGUUACUUUAUUUCAACCAACUUCUUUUCAAGUAACCUUGGGAACCUUUGGGACCCAAGGUUUGUCAAAGUUGAAAAGUUUGUGUAUUUCCCUUACUGUCAAGAACCUCCGUAAUGCAAACUUUAAGAUCAUGAAGAUAACUGGAACUUACAUCAUGCUUCUAACAAUGAUCUCCCUAUACUUUAUUUACAUUGCUGCUGCCUACUUUAUUUAUAGGCAUAGCAUUUUUGCAUUAUGUGUCAUUUUGUUCUGAUAGUCAUUGUCAGGACUGCAAUGCUCAGAUUAGCGAGCUUCUCAUUGUAGUAAUGUUUCCUCAAUUGGGUCAUAUAUCCAUAUUCUCUGGCAAAUUCUAAUAUGAAAUUUAAAUUGAGGAUUUAAAUGCCUAAAUAGCUAAUUCUUCUUAUUAUAUCUUAAAUAAAUUUAUAUGAAUAAUUAUUUAAUGGUCCUUUCCAUGUUUGUCUCUUUUUCAUUUGCAAUUUUCAUUUACGAAAUCCUAGAUAUGCUCUGCCACAUGUCCAAUAUCACCACUAACAUCAUGUUCUAACUCCUUUUUUAUCAGAUAAAUAUUCCUCAACCUAGCACAACCAUUUGUAUCAAAGAUGAGUAAUUACAAGCUAGGGGUGGAGGUUACAAGUGCGCACGACCUAAUGCCCAAGGAUGGGCAAGGUUCUGCUAAUCCCUGUGUGGAACUACACUUUGAAGGCCAGAAAUUUCGCACCACCAUCAAGGAAAAGGACCUCAACCCGGUCUGGAAUGAGUGUUUCUAUUUCAAUGUUGCAGACCCCGAGAACCUCCCCAACCUUGCUCUCGAAGCCUAUAUCUACAAUGUAAGCAAAACCAUGCACUCUAAGUCCUUCCUAGGCAAAGUCCGGAUUGCAGGCACCUCUUUUGUUCCCUUCUCCGAUGCUGUUGUAAUGCAUUACCCGCUGGAGAAACGUGGGAUCUUCUCCCGUGUAAAAGGAGAGUUGGGGCUAAAAGUAUUCCUUACUGAUGAUCCCUCGAUCAGACCUUCGGAUCCUCUUCCAUCUUUUGAUCCUGUAGUUAAUAAUCCUCCUCAAGUACCAAAUCCAAUAUUCGAUCCCCCGAAAGAACGGAUGUCUGAAAAGAGGCAUAUGUUCCACACUGUCCCAAAAGAAGUCCAUCACCAUUCUACGGCUCCAAUUAGUGAGCAGUCAGUGAAGUACGCGACUGAUCAGAUGAAACCUGAGCCGCCCAAAAUUGUUAGGAUGUACUCGGCUGCAUCACAGCAACCGGUUGAUUAUGCGCUCAAAGAGACCAGUCCAUUUUUGGGGGGUGGGCGGGUUGUUGCCGGCCGGGUCAUACGUGCAGAUAAGCCUGCAAGCACAUAUGACCUUGUUGAACAGAUGCAGUAUUUAUUUGUUCGUGUGGUCAAAGCGCGGGAUUUGCCAGCCAUGGACGCAUCUGGGAGCCUUGAUCCUUUUGUGGAAGUGAGAGUUGGUAACUACAAGGGAAUAACUAAGCACUUUGAGAAAAAGCAGAAUCCAGAAUGGAACGAAGUCUUUGCUUUCUCGCGAGACCGGAUGCAGUCCUCAGUCCUUGAAGUCGUGGUCAAAGACAAAGAUCUGGUGAAGGACGAUUUUGUUGGGCUAGUGCGGUUUGAUUUAAAUGAUAUCCCAACCCGGGUCCCUCCUGAUAGCCCGUUGGCACCAGAGUGGUACAAACUUGAAGGCAAGAGGGGAGAUAAAACGAAGGGUGAGUUGAUGCUUGCUGUUUGGAUGGGCACGCAAGCUGAUGAGGCUUUUUCUGAUGCAUGGCAUUCGGAUGCUGCGGCACCAAUUGAUUCCGCAGUCAUAAACGCUCAUAUCAGGUCGAAGGUCUACCACGCGCCGAGACUGUGGUACCUUCGGCUCAACAUCAUUGAGGCCCAAGAUAUUAUUAUACCAGAUAAGACUCGUUUUCCUGAUGUGUAUGUUAAGGUCCAAUUAGGAAAUCAGUUUUUGAGGACAAAGGCAGUUCAGGCCCGAACAUUUAAUCCGCUCUGGAAUGAAGACCAUAUGCUUGUGGCUGCUGAACCAUUUGAGGAUCCCCUCAUUCUUUCUGUCGAAGAUCGUGUCGGUCCUAAUAAAGACGAGACAAUUGGGCGUGUUAUUAUACCGCUGCAAUCUAUUGAGAAGCGGGUCGAUGACCGUGUUCUCUAUGGCCGGUGGUUUAACCUUGAGAAGCCAUUUAUAGUUGAUGUGGAUCAGUUGAAGAAGGACAAAUUUUCGAGUCGAAUUCAUCUUCGUGUUUGUUUGGAAGGAGGAUAUCAUGUUCUUGACGAGUCAACUCACUACAGCAGUGACCUUCGACCUACAGCUAAGCAGCUUUGGAAACCAUCAAUAGGUCUGCUUGAGCUCGGUGUACUUAGUGCGGACGGCCUUCAUCCUAUGAAAACACGAGAUGGAAAGGGAACUUCAGAUACGUACUGUGUGGCCAAGUACGGCCAGAAGUGGGUUCGAACCCGAACGAUCAUCAACAGCCUGAGCCCUAAGUACAACGAGCAGUAUACUUGGGAAGUCUAUGACCCAUCUACCGUCCUCACUGUCGGAGUUUUCGACAAUUGCCAACUUGGCGAAAAGGGCGGAAACAGUAACGGUAACAAAGAUGUCAAGAUAGGCAAGGUCCGCAUCCGCCUCUCCACUCUCGAAACCGGGCGGGUGUACACACACUCUUACCCACUUCUGGUCCUGCACCCUUCGGGGGUUAAGAAGAUGGGCGAGCUCCACCUUGCCAUACGCUUCUCGUCCACAUCAUUGAUCAACAUGCUAUACAUUUACUCGCGUCCUCCGCUGCCAAAGAUGCAUUACACCCGCCCAUUAACCGUGAUGCAGCUUGAGAUGCUGCGCCACCAAGCUGUUCAGAUCGUCGCUGCCCGUCUGAGCCGUAUGGAGCCGCCCUUAAGAAAGGAAGUGGUGGAGUACAUGUCUGACGUCGACUCUCACCUUUGGAGCAUGCGGAAGAGCAAAGCGAACUUCUUUAGGCUGAUGUCCGUCUUCUCAGGCCUGUUUGCUGCAAGCAAAUGGUUUGGGGACGUAUGCGCGUGGAAGAACCCUAUCACGACUGUACUGGUCCACGUCCUCUUCAUAAUGCUCGUUUGCUUUCCCGAGCUGAUACUCCCUACAAUAUUCCUUUACAUGUUCCUGAUCGGGCUGUGGAACUACCGGUACCGCCCGCGCUAUCCUCCCCACAUGAACACGAAAAUAUCGCACGCUGAGGCCGUACACCCCGACGAGCUGGACGAGGAGUUCGACACGUUUCCGACGAGCCGCAGCGCGGAGUUGGUUAGAAUGAGGUACGACAGGCUGAGGAGCGUGGCAGGAAGGAUACAGACAGUGGUGGGCGACAUGGCGACGCAGGGGGAGAGGAUCCAGGCGCUGCUGAGCUGGCGGGACCCGCGGGCCACUGCGAUUUUCGUGCUUUUCUGCCUGAUCGCCGCAAUCGUGCUGUACGUGUCGCCGUUCCAGGUCUUGGCCGCACUGGUGGGGUUCUACAUCAUGAGGCACCCGAGGUUCCGCCACAGGCUGCCCUCGGCGCCGGUGAACUUCUUCCGGCGACUGCCUGCGCGGACUGAUAGCAUGCUGUAAAUAAGCAACCGAUGGAUGGUUUCCAUCAUCGAACUUGUCCCUGUAUGUCUGCUUUAUUGUUCUUAAAACUGCUUUCGUAAUGUAAGCCGUGUGUUAUUUGGAUCUAAUGGUUGUAUAAUUUGUUAGUAUCAGUGGUAAGAGACAUCGUAGUAGUAAAAUGAACAUUUUGGAAUCAGGACAAUUAUUAUGCAUUUUGCUGUUCAAUUCUGAAUGCAUGAUUGGUUCAGUAAGGUAAAUUUUUCUGUUUUUCAAUUCGGUAUGUAGGGUUAUGUAUAAAUUGCGAUAUAUUAACGGGGUGGUUCCACGCGUGCGACCAGACAUGGUUUUAUGAGUUAGCUAGGUUUAAUCUGACCAGCAAAAAUCGAGCUGGACAACCAGAUUCAUUCAUAUAUAUAUAUAUAUAUAUAUAUAUAUAUAUAUAUAUAGAGCAGGCUGUUGUCGCUCUCAGGAGCAAGGAGGCCUCCGUGCUCCUGAGCCGUUUUCGAUGAUGGAGUUUUCGAAUCGACGAUCGGCUCCGUUAAACUUGAUCUAGCAUAUUUAAAGUUUCUAGAAAAUAAUUUUUGCGAUUUUCGAUAUUAUUUACUAGCUAUCGAAAGGAUUCAAAAUCAAUAAUUUUAAACGGCUGAAAAUAAAAAAUCCUAUAAAAAGUGUUGAUAUAGCACUAAAAUUUCAUCAGAAUAUAUGAUCUUGUGUAGAUAUAUAAAAAAAAUUUCUAUUAAAAAUUUCAUCUGAUUGAAUACUUCUAACACGUUAAACUUGAAAACGCAGAUAUCAACCAUUAAAAAUUAUGGAUUUUGAAUUCUUCGAUCACUAGGUAAAUGAUAUUGAAAAAUCUGCAAAAAUUAUUUUCUAGAAUACUCAAAUGCGCUAGAUCAAGUCUAACGGAGCCGAUCGUCGAUUCGAAAAUUCCAUCAUUGAAAACGGCUCAGGAGCACGGAGACUCCGUGCUCCUGAGAGCACAGCAGCCCUGCUCUAUUAUAUUAAUAUUAUAUAUAUAAUAGUAUAUAUAUAUAUAUAUAUAUAUAGUUAAGCUGGAUACUAUCGUAGCAAACGGCUCCGUUGUCACCCAUUUGCUUCGAUGAUGAGCCCCAAAUCGACGAUCAGUACGUGUAAAGAUCUAAUAACACUUGAAGUAUCAGAAAAUCAAAUUUUCAUAAUUCCGAUAUUGUUUUCUUGCCAUCAAUUGGGCGUAAAAUGAAAUGCUGAAAUAAAUAUCCUCUAAAAGGUGAUAUAGAAAAUUUGUAAUCAUGAUCGAGAGUAUAGAUCUGUUCUAUAAUAGUUAAAGAAUUUCCACCAAAAUUCAAUUGAUUUGGAUAGUCUUAUAACCGUUAAACGAGAAAACCCCUCGUAUCAACCAUUAAAAUUACUAAUUUUGAAACCCUUUGACAUUAGGUAAAUGAUAAUAAAAAAGAUUUGAAAUUUAAUUUCUAAAUACUUCAAGUAAUAGAUCAUGUUCACGUACCGAUCAUCGAUUUGAAAGCUCCAUCAUUGAACAUUGGUGGCAACAGAGCCGCAGUUGGCUACCGAUAGCAUUCCAGCUCAACUCUCUCUCUCUCUCUCUUCCUCUCUCUAUAUAUAGGAGUUAGCUAAAUUGAGCUAGAAUACUUAUUACAAGUAUCACUCUUUGGUGCUAUUAGUUUUAAGCCCUUGGAUGCUACUCCUUGAUUACUAAAGCCCUUGGAUCAAACACUAUUCUACCUAACCACCACCUAUCACCAUCAUCCAACCCUACAUUUCUCUAUCAAGGUUAAAAAACUCACAGCACCAUUCUCUUGAUGCUUUUAAAAGUGAGGCUAUAUAUAGAGUAGGCUACUAUGCUAUCGGAAGCACGGAGCCUUCCGUGCUUUCAGCUCGUUUUCAUGUUGCGACUUUCAAAUCGUCGAUCGCUCCAUUAAAACUUGAUCUAGAGUAUUUGGAGUACCUAGAAAAUAAUUUUAUUAUUUUUCGAUAUCAUUUGCUAGUGAUCGAAUGGGCUCAAAUCAACAAAUUUCAAUGGCCGAGUGAGCCGUUUGUAAGUUUAACGUGUAGAAAUAUCCAAAUCACGUGAAAUUUUGAUAGAAAAUUCUUUAUACUAUAUAAAAAAAUCAAUAUCUUUGAUUAAAAUUUUAAUGUCAUAUUAUUACAUUUUGUAAGAUUUUUAUUUUCAGUCGUUGAUUUUGAGCCACUUCGUUCACUAGGUAAUGAUAAUCGUAAAAUCAUAAAAUUUAUUUUCUAGGUACUUCAUAUACUCUAGACAAGUUUAACGGAGCCGAUCGACGAUUGAAAGCCGCAACAUCGAAACACAAGCUGGAAGCACGGAAGGCUCCGUGCUUCCGAUAGCAUAGUAGCCUCACUCAUAUAUAUAUAAUAUAUAUAUAUAUAAUAAUAUAAUAUAAUAUAUAUAUAUUAUAUAGAGUUCGGCUGCUAUACUAUCGGUAGCACAGACGCCUCCGUGCUACCAAGUUGUUUUUGAUGAUGCGGCUUCCAAAUCGAUGAUCGGCUCCGUUAGACUUGAUUUACACUAUUGAAAAUAUUUGGAAACUAAAUUUCAGAAUUUUUCAACAUUAUUUGGUUAGUGAUCAAAAAGUCUCAAAAUUGACAAUUUUAAUGAUAGAUGUGAUGCAUUUGUAAAUUUAACGGUGUAAAACAAUCCAAAUCAGAUGAAAGUUUUAUAGAAAUUUUUUUUUAUUAUUUAAAGUAAGAUCAAUACCUCUGAUCUUAAAUUCAAGUCUUUUAUCAUCAUUUUUAUGAGAUUUUUAUUUUUAGCCGUUCAUUUUUAGACUACUCGUUUGAUAGGCAAAUGAUACCGAAUAAUUAUGAAAUUUAGUUUCCAAAUACUUUCAAUAGUAUAGAUCAAGUCUAACGGAGCUGAUCGUCGAUUUGAAAGGGGCAUCAUUGAAAACAACUUGGUAGCACGGAAGCCUCUGUACUACCGAUAAUAUAGCAGCCGGACUAUAUAUAUAUAUAUAUAUAUAGGAUUUAAUAUCAUUGCAAUUGCCAUUACAAAAGUAAUUAGCAUUUUUGGCAUUAAAAGAUAUUUUGUACUAGUAAUUAGUCCAGAGAAUACUACAAAUUCAGCAACAAAAUCACAAGGAGUCUAUUUUCUUACUUAAAGUGAUUUUGAGUGCCUGAACAUGGUAAAUAUUUUUGGCAUUGGGAUAGAUAUCCCUCCCAUUUCUUCGAGAUAAACAAGACGUGUUCUAUCACAACUCGUUCCCGCCAAGAAAAAAAGUGCAGCACCAAUAAAUCCAUGAGAGAGCAUUUGUAAAAUAGCUCCAUUGAGUCCCAUGUCGGUUAUAGAACCAAUUCCUAUAAUUGUGAAACCCAUGUGAGAUACAGAGGAAUAGGCUAUUCUCUUUUUUAAAUUACGUUGACCAAGAGAAGUUGAAGCUGCAUAGAUUAUUUGCAUUGUUCCUAUUAUCACCAACCAGGGAGAAAAUAUAGAGUGAGCGUGGGGUAAUAAUUCCAUAUUGAUCCGAAUCAAUCCAUAUGCGCCCAUUUUUAAUAGGAUUCCUGCUAAAAGCAUACAUGUACUGUAAUGUGCUUCUCCGUGGGUAUCAGGUAACCAUGUAUGUAGGGGUAUAAUCGGCAAUUUUACAGCAUAAGCAAUAAGGAAGCCAAAAUAGAAUAUUAUUUCCAACGACACAGGAUAUGAUUGAUUAAUUAAUCUUUCAAAAUCUAAUGUUGGUUCAUUGGAACCAUAUAAACCCAUACCNAGAUCAACUCUAACGGAGCCGAUCGUCAAUUUGAAGCGGCAUCAUUAAAAAUAAUUUGGUAGUAUGAAGGCCUCUGUACUACCGAUAAUAUAUCAGCCUAGCUAUAUAUAUAUAUAGAGAGAGAGAGAGAGAGAGUUGGACUGGGCUACUAUUAGUAGCAAAAUCUCGUUUUUGCUACCAGUUUUUUAGCCUUUGGAUCAACUCUUUUCAUUAUUUCUAACCAUUGGACUAAAUACUAUAACCCAGUGGAGACCACUCAACCCUAGGGAGACCAUUCAACUAUAACUGACUAAUAUCAUCCUGACCUUACAAUUUUUCAUCCAAGGGUUAAAAACUUGAUAGCAAAAAGAGCGUUUUACUAUUAAUAAUAUUCCAGCCUAAUUCUAUAUAUAUAUAUAGUCCGGCUACUAUACUUUUAUGAGUACGAUCGCCCUCGUACUCAUAAGUUAUUUUCGAUGAUAGAGCUUCCGAAUCGACGAUCCACACCGUUAAACGUUAUCUAGAGCAUUUGAAAUAUCUAGAAAUCAAAUUUCAUAAUUUUUCGACAUCAUUUAGCUUACGAUCAAAAGUUCACAAAAUUGACAAUUUUUAACGGCCGGUAUGGAAUACUUGCUAGUUUAAUGGUGCAAAAGAAUCCGAAUAGGUUGAAUUUUUGAUAGAAAAUUCUAUUUACUACCUAGAUAAAGAUCAAUAACUCCGAUCUUAAAUUGAAGGAUCCGAUCAUCCAUUUUUAAGACAUCGUUCGAUUUUGACUUUUCAUUUUAUGCCCGCUUGAUGGACUUUAUUAUGAUUUCGAAAAAUUACAAAAUUUAUUUUCUAGAAGUUUCAAAUAUUCUAGAUCAUAUUCAACGGAGUGGAUCGUCGAUUCGGAAGCUCCAUCAUCGAAAAUAACUUAUGAGUACGAAGGGCCCAAUACUCAUAAUAAUAUAGUAGCCCUGCUAUAUUUCGCUUCAUUCAUAUAAAAUGUAAACUUAGUCAACCGAGCCUUGUUUUUCAAAAACGAACAAACAAAUGAAAAAAACAGCAACGGAAAAAAGGUGAUAUAAGGAGAAACUACGGAACGAAAAGGAACUAUAACCUAAAAGAAUACAAAAAAUAAUCAAACCAAAAUAGAACAAAAGAAGACUAAAAAAGAAGAAAAAAAUCCACUAAAAUGCCAGACUACUAUUUGUAUUUUCUGCUAAAUACACGCUCCUCCCACAAUCUCACCAGCCUUCUGAUAUUGCUUACGGCAAGGAUUGGGUCCUCGCAAACUUCCUGAAGAUCAUUUUAUUUUUUUCCAGCCAAAUUGCCCACAAAAUUGCCGUUAAGAUACACAAACUCUUCGCACUACUCUCUAUCAUCAAUCUCUACCCCCCAAAAGCUCCUCCUCAUUCACCCCCUACAAGUGUCAUCAUGAGUAGAUACUUAGCUAACAAUGCAUCUCACGAAGAUAUGAUCAGCGGUCUCAAGAUCGUCUCCACAUACCACACAAAUCGCGUCCCGUGUCCGCUCCCUUUUGAGUAAAUAUUCGCCAUUAGAACUCAACUUUUUAGCUCAAGCCAAAUAAAAAAUUGUACUUUUGUAGAUAUCCUAUAAAGCUCCAAAUAUUCCUCAACAAGUAAUCUCUAACUUUACUAUCAAAUUAGAGCGGGAUACGUUGAUUUGACGGGGAAUCUACAGCUCGCAUUCCACCGCCAUAAUAAUUCAUCUGGCCUACAAAUAACUCUCAAGUUACUCUCAAGUUAGAUAGUCGAUUCUUGAGUACAUGAACUGUAGGGUUACUGUUACGACAAGCGCAUAAAUAGAAACGGGAGUGACGAAACAUAAAGUAGAUAAACAACAAAUAAGAAAAAAAUACACAGAUUUACGUAAAAAUUUAUUUACAGAAAAAAAAAUUAUGAACGAGAAAUGAGAGAAUUUACAUUGAUCGAUCUGUCGCCGCCAGGACAAAGCGAAAAAAAAAAACUCUUAACAGAUUUUGAAUCCAAUUCGUACCUCGGGAGGCGGGCCUAUCGAUCCGAGCCCUCUGUUACAUACUAGAAACAUCUAUUUUAUCUUAUUAUUCAAAUUGAUUACACAGCGAAAUAGUAGAUAAGUCAGAGCCUCAAAAUUAAAGUCGAUUAUCAAUUUCGAAACACAUCUAACAGUUUCUAUCUGGACCUGCAGCCCCAAUUCCCCGCAGAAUUUUCCACCGCCUCUAUCCACCAUUCGAAUACAGACUACGCACUGCUCAUUCAGAUAAAUUGACCGAGCAAAAAAAAACUAUCAGAAAAAGAAUUAAUGUGUGUUGCCAGAUGAUAUGAUGUAAAAUUAUUUUUAACCAAGCAUCUUCUUAUGCUAGUCACCUAAUAUCAAUUCUUUAGAUCACUAUUAGGUAAUCUGUUGUAAUUAAUUACCUAGUAAGUUUUUCGGCAAGAAUAAUGGUAAAUAUAUGUGGGUUUAUCUCAUUAAACUUUACUGGGUUAUAGCAUUUGCUUAUAUCAUGUUUAGUACAAAAUUACAAACUAAAGUAGUCCAGCUUACAACUACGGGUUUAAACAGGACCCAUUAUGCCGAGCUAAUAUCAAAAAUGGUAAAAAUGUUUAGAACUUAAUUAUCUAAACUAUACACAUCUUGAUUUGCCUAUCUAAUCUUAUGUAUUAGAAUUAAUGGCAUUCCGGGUGUUCUCCACAUAUUGAUGUUCAAAUAUUAGUUUCUUCUUUCUUUUCUUAUAACAUUCUAAAAUUUUUGACAUCAUAUAAUUUACGAUUAAGUUGCUUCAAAAUUAACAACUUUAACAGUGUAAUAGUGUACCAGAAUCAAAAUUUAUUAAAUUUUUAUAGAAAAUUCUAUUCACUUGUUAAAUCUAGAUCAAUAACUCUGAUCAUUAAUUGAAGAACCCGAUCUACUAUGUUUUAGAAUAUAGUUUGAUUUUGACUAUUUAUUUUAUACUCAUUUGAUACUUUAUUAUAAUUUUGAAAAAUUAUGAAAUUCUAAUUUUAGAUACUUCAAAUCCUUUAGCUUAUAUUGAAAGGUACAAUCAUCGAUUCAGAAGCUUUAUAAUCGAAAUCAACUUAUAAGUACAGAAGUUGCCAGGCUCAUAAUAGAGAAAGAGAGAGAGAAAGAGAGAGUUUGGGUGAGAUGCUUCUAAUAGUCGAAAACCCACCAACUGAUAACUUUGUACAAUUAGUACGUAGCAUCUUAGUUUAGUUCUACUAGUUGAUUUAUACUAAUAAAAGAUUUGUGGAUUAAUCUAAUAAGGUAAUCACUAAACCCAUGAUUAGCUUCCCAAACAAGAAACCUCUUCUUCUAGAAAAGUAAUUUAUGAUUGAAAAUAGAAAGGUCCUAUCACUACGAAUUAAUAACAUAAAAAAAAAAAUCUUUGUUUAUCAUUUGUUUAUUCGUUGAUGUGAUUAUCCUGAAAUCUCGAAAGCCAAUAAAGAACAACUCAGAUUGAUUUUUAAUUAACCAAUUUUUUUUUAAAAAAAAAAAACAGCUGAGUACUCCACCUACUCUAACAUCGUGCCCUCAAUAUUCUUUCCCAGAAUCCAAAUAAUUUGAUUCUCUCACAGAAAAAUCAAAGGUAUGAUUUUGAGCAUCCCAUUCAAUUCUUUUUUUAAAAUUUUUUUUUAUUAGUCGUGCCUACUUAAUUACAAGAUUAUCCAAAAAAAAUGCUUUAAAAAUUAAAAGGAAUAAACGAAGAUUAAAAUUAAGAAACGUACCUAGUGUAAACGGAUCUAAGAUGUCCAAAAUGAGAGCACACAUACAAAAGUUACUCGAGAGGGGGUGAGGAGAAGUGGCAACGGGUGGAAAAUUCCAGAGAAAUCGCAUUGAUCACCCAACACUUGAUCAAUAUAUAAAAAGAGAGAGAUCAAUGCGAUCCCUUUGGAGUUCUCCAACCGCUACCGAUCGUCUUCGAACCUACUUUUCCUUUUCGCGACAAAACGAUUUCUACGGCUUGGCCACUCCGCGGUGAGACCAGGAUCAGGUCAAUGGACUGAUCGACGGUGGUGAUUCCUGUGUGACCGUAGGGAGCCUCUUCAUAGAAUUUUCCUUCUUUCGCGCCCCCUCCUUAAUUCUCCUUUUUGUAGAAUUUAUAUAAUUCAAUUGAAGUAGGUGUUAAGGGCUCGAAUAUGUAUUACAUAAGAUAUAUAUAUAAUCUGUAUAUAUAUAUUAUAUAUACAUAUAUAGAGAGAGAGAGAGAGAGAGAGAGAGAGAGAGAGAAUUGGAGAGUGGGGUUGGGAUGGUGAAAGCUGCAGAGCUUCUGGGAGUUGCUAUUGCGGUUUGCUUUGCCUCACGCGUUGGACGUGAGAAAGCAAGCAAGUAGAAUGACAAUAAUGCCCUCCCCUUUUGUACUCAUUACGCGCUUCAAUGGCCUAGCCAAUCAUAUUUGAUUUGAUGAGAACUAAUUUUAUCUUAUAAUCUAAACAAUUUUGUGGCCCGCAUAACAGAUGUAAAAGAUACGUGAGAUGGAAAAGAUAAGAUCGACGCAAAUUUUGACCCGUUAGGUGGUAGGGUUAGGAUUUGAGCUAAAUUAUUGUUUCCGAUUAGUGUUAAAUUUAGGGUGCGUAUGCUUCGCACUAUCUUUUUAAGAUCUUUAAUAAUUCAAUAUGAAUAAAAAAAUUAUGAUAGGUAUUUCACUAAACGCACUAAAUAAUUUAGUUGAUAAUAUUGAAUUUACUUGAAAAAUGAUAUUCAUUUUAAAAUACUAAUCUCAUUCCUUUGAGAGAGGGUGGAUAUCUUCAUAUUAAUAGAUUGUGAUAAUAGUAAUAAUAUGUCUAAUCUUUUUCUUUCAUCUCACCCACUAGCUAAUUGUUAUUGUUUUUUCUUUACACUCUACUCUUAUUUAUCUCUUUAAAUUUAUAUUUUUCUUUCUAAACUUCAACCUUUUUUUUCCAAGCUAAGCUCUCUCUCCUUCUCUUUUUUUAAAAUCUUAAUUAAUUCUCUCACUCCUUCUAAUCUCGAUUCUAUUUGUCUUUUUAUUUCUUUAAUUAUACUCUUUCUCUCUAACUUAUGUUCUCUCUGUCUCUUUUCAAAAAAGAUAUGAAAUUUUCAAUAUAUAGCAUUAUAAUCUAAAAUUAAUUAACGAAACAAAUACACCAAUUAUAUAUUUUUCAUAAUCUUAAAUAAUAUGACUACGCGCGUAAUAUGAUCGUGCGAACCAAAUAUCGAAACAUCACAUUCUUAAUAAUAUAAUGAAUAAAAAUAAACUUCUUCAGUAUUUUUUUAUUCCUAGUAAUCUUUCAUAGUGCGAACCAAAUGCACCUUUAUGAUUAUUUAGAAGCAAAAGUUUUUGAAAUUGG
rnacentral:lncRNA from 1 species